CUGCUGUGAUGAGACUCAGAACUUUUGAAAGUUUGAUACCUUGAUGAAACUUACUGUUGACCCUGAGCAGUUACCUGAACAG